rnacentral:sRNA from 1 species
AUGAUUGAGAACUCUCUUUUUGUUCAAACUGUGUUACAAGUUUGUUUUUUUGUUUUCUUCCAGCAGGUGGACCUAAAAACAGACCAAGUAUGCAAGGGAAUGCUAGGAUCAACGUAUGAGAGCUAUUCAUACUCUGAUCACAAUUGCUGAGAGUCUCAAGAGCAAUUGAGUUGCUGUUGAAAAGACCAUAAGCACCUCUACUGUUGUCUCGAAGCUGGAUGGCGAAGAUGGACGGAUUGUGUUGAAGGCUCAGGCUGAAGAAGUCGAGGAGACUGCAGUUCCUGUGGUUGCAGCGUGAAGGCAUAUGUGAUUCAGCAGAGUUUGAGUUGAAACUUGGAUGAUGAGUAGUAGCUGGGUAAUUCAUUAGAAUAAUAAGGAUGUGUAAAUGAGAAACAGGUUUAGCACUUUGCUUCCUAAUGCAUGUUUUCUUACAUGCCCUUUGAUAUAAAUAAUGAGAUUUUUUGCAGCUCACAGCUCUCUCUCUCUCUCUCUCUCUCUAAGGAUGUAUAUAUGGGAGACAUGUUUAGCACUUUGCUUCCUAAUGCAUGUUUUCUUACAUGCCCUUUGAUAUAAAUAAUGAGGGAAUGUCCAACUGAGUUGGGCAGUUUUUGUUCAUUCUGUUAAGGUGAGCGUCUUUGGAGGUAUUGUGGGUAUAUUGUCCGAAUUGGGGUUUUUAAAGUUGAAAUUCAAUCUGGGAUUCUGAAUUUUUUUUACAACUUAGUAAUUUGUGGAGUUAUUCUUAGUUUUUAUCAAGAAAUUUGAUUUAGGUUUCAUAUAUUUUGUGAAAUUAGAUACUUUUUUGUGAAGAUUUUUUUUAAUAUAUUGUUGUGGUAGUUAAGGUAAUUUACGCGUUUGAAAAAGCUCGAGAGUUGAAUGUGACAAAGUAAGCAGAUCAGCAUGUAAACCUGAAACCAAGAAGCUCAAACCCCGAGAAUUCGAUGUAAUUAACCUUAAUUAUGUGACUCAAAAUCUGGGGCAGCUUCUGGACCUUAUUCUCAGGAAGGUAACAUUUUUAAUUAUU